UGCAAGUCGAGCGCAGGAAGCUGACGGAACUCUUCGGAGGGAAGGCAGUGGAAUGAGCGGCGGACGGGUGAGUAACACGUAAGGAACCUGCCUCAAGGAUUGGGAUAACUCCGAGAAAUCGGAGCUAAUACCGGAUAGUUCAACGGACCGCAUGGUCCGUUGAUGAAAGGCGCUCCGGCGUCACCUUGAGAUGGCCUUGCGGUGCAUUAGCUAGUUGGUGGGGUAACGGCUCACCAAGGCGACGAUGCAUAGCCGACCUGAGAGGGUGAUCGGCCACACUGGGACUGAGACACGGCCCAGACUCCUACGGGAGGCAGCAGUAGGGAAUCUUCCACAAUGGACGAAAGUCUGAUGGAGCAACGCCGCGUGAGUGAUGAAGGUUUUCGGAUCGUAAAACUCUGUUGUAAGGGAAGAACACGUACGAGAGGGAAUGCUCGUACCUUGACGGUACCUUACGAGAAAGCCACGGCUAACUACGUGCCAGCAGCCGCGGUAAUACGUAGGUGGCAAGCGUUGUCCGGAAUUAUUGGGCGUAAAGCGCGCGCAGGCGGCCUUUUAAGUCUGAUGUGAAAGCCCCCGGCUCAACCGGGGAGGGCCAUUGGAAACUGGGAGGCUUGAGUACAGAAGAGAAGAGUGGAAUUCCACGUGUAGCGGUGAAAUGCGUAGAGAUGUGGAGGAACACCAGUGGCGAAGGCGACUCUUUGGUCUGUAACUGA
rnacentral:rRNA from 1 species